CAGAUGGGGGAGACCUCACGGGUGGAAAUCGAUGCUCGUGGACAGUUGCCUGCUCUCUGGGUCAGGUGGUGAAUGCGUCAGUCAGGCAGGGGCGCAGCAGGCCAGGGAGGGACUCCAGGGAGGGGUUCCUGGGGCUGUCUUCCUCCGUGCUCUCUUUUCUCUUCUGGAUGUCUUUAUCUGCGGGCGGCGGCAUGUUUGCUGGAAACAAAAGAGCGGCAGCUAGAAGCGCCUUUCAAGUUUGGAACUGAAAGGAUCUGAAGUUGGUGGAGGGAGAGGAUCAGGUGGGGUGAGAUGUCCUGCAUCAGGUGAGGACGUUUCCUGCUAUUCCUGGCUUGCUGAAACUUUGUCUUAUGCAUGGAUAUUGAGAAUGCCUUCAGUUGAGAGGAUGCUCAAGAAGACAAGAUUCUGACAUGCAGGAACUACAAGGGCUCUUGUCCUCCACGCUGACCUACCCUUGGCUUGUACGACGAGAAAACUGAGGUCGAGAGAGUCACCCAGAAGCAGAGCAGAGACUGGAAUCCAAGCUCCGGAUUUUUAGUGAAAAAGACCCCUUUUCCUUCCAGAGGAAACAUUCCAUCAUUUGAAAACUAAAUGCUGAUUGUUUGCGCGUUACUUUGCCUUGUUCAAGUGUGGAGAGAAGAAUUGGUUUCUUUCAAAGUUUAGUGGUGGUCUUGUUUAUAGGGGAAUGCUGGACAGCCGAAAGAUUUUACCAAGAAAUCGCUGGGUUUCCUAACAAUCCCUUGGUGUACAAUAUUACCGAGGCCCUCUCCUCAUCCAGCCCGUGUGUGUUUUUCCUUCCCUCUUGAAAUUGUCAAACUGACAUAAUUAACUAAUCUGUUAGCUAAAUAAAUCGCUGGAUCCCAGCAAGAAUUUUUACUGAGGCAUCAUUGCCCCGCACCGCGCUGCGUGAAGGACUGUCGACACCGCGUUGAUAGAUGUAUGGCAAAGGAUUCUGUUUGAGAGACAGCUCUCUCCUUCUCCCUGAGCAUCGAACAUGGCUGGCAGGCUACAGAACAGAUGUCAUGGAGCGUAUGUGAGAAAUCCACCAAUUCCUUAGAGUAUUUUGAUCCCACAAGGUUCACGGAGCCUGAAGGCACGUGGGAUGCAGACUGAUAGCCCAGGGGUGGACUCCAGUCCUGGUGGGCCUCAAGCAGAAGCUGCGGUUACUCUGCAGUUGUUUUUCUGUAGAGAACUGUGCUCUGACACAGGGGAUGCCCUUACUAACCUCCAGAAGUCUCUGACAUCCCCUGAGGUAGAUGAACACACUGUUAUUGCUUUACUUUUAUUUUUAGGAAUAUUCAUUUGUUAGCUCUUUAAGAGCAGGGCCCACU